GACGAACGCUUGCGGCGUGCUUAACACAUGCAAGUCGAACGGAAAGGCCCUGCUUUUGUGGGGUGCUCGAGUGGCGAACGGGUGAGUAACACGUGAGUAACCUGCCCUUGACUUUGGGAUAACUUCAGGAAACUGGGGCUAAUACCGGAUAGGAGCUCCUGCUGCAUGGUGGGGGUUGGAAAGUUUCGGCGGUUGGGGAUGGACUCGCGGCUUAUCAGCUUGUUGGUGGGGUAGUGGCUUACCAAGGCUUUGACGGGUAGCCGGCCUGAGAGGGUGACCGGCCACAUUAGGACUGAGAUACGGCCCAGACUCCUACGGGAGGCAGCAGUGGGGAAUAUUGCACAAUGGGCGGAAGCCUGAUGCAGCAACGCCGCGUGCGGGAUGACGGCCUUCGGGUUGUAAACCGCUUUCGCCUGUGACGAAGCGUGAGUGACGGUAAUGGGUAAAGAAGCACCGGCUAACUACGUGCCAGCAGCCGCGGUGAUACGUAGGGUGCGAGCGUUGUCCGGAUUUAUUGGGCGUAAAGGGCUCGUAGGUGGUUGAUCGCGUCGGAAGUGUAAUCUUGGGGCUUAACCCUGAGCGUGCUUUCGAUACGGGUUGACUUGAGGAAGGUAGGGGAGAAUGGAAUUCCUGGUGGAGCGGUGGAAUGCGCAGAUAUCAGGAGGAACACCAGUGGCGAAGGCGGUUCUCUGGGCCUUUCCUGACGCUGAGGAGCGAAAGCGUGGGGAGCGAACAGGCUUAGAUACCCUGGUAGUCCACGCUGUAAACGGUGGGUACUAGGUGUGGGGUCCAUUCCACGGGUUCCGUGCCGUAGCUAACGCUUUAAGUACCCCGCCUGGGGAGUACGGCCGCAAGGCUAAGACUCAAAGGAAUUGACGGGGCCCCGCACAAGCGGCGGAGCAUGCGGAUUAAUUCGAUGCAACGCGUAGAACCUUACCUGGGUUUGACAUGGAUCGGGAGCGCUCAGAGAUGGGUGUGCCUCUUUUGGGGUCGGUUCACAGGUGGUGCAUGGCUGUCGUCAGCUCGUGUCGUGAGAUGUUGGGUUAAGUCCCGCAACGAGCGCAACCCUUGUUCACUGUUGCCAGCACGUUAUGGUGGGGACUCAGUGGAGACCGCCGGGGUCAACUCGGAGGAAGGUGGGGAUGACGUCAAGUCAUCAUGCCCCUUAUGUCCAGGGCUUCACGCAUGCAACAAUGGCUGGUACAGAGAGUGGCGAGCCUGUGAGGGUGAGCGAAUCUCGGAAAGCCGGUCUCAGUUCGGAUUGGGGUCUGCAACUCGACCUCAUGAAGUCGGAGUCGCUAGUAAUCGCAGAUCAGCAACGCUGCGGUGAAUACGUUCCCGGG
rnacentral:rRNA from 1 species